AGAAAACUAACCGGUUCUUUUACUUUCACUGUAGAUGAUGAUCGUUGAUUGCGACGUUGGUGUAACUCCGGUGGUCGGUCAGUCGGAUUUCUGCACUGGUCGGUCGGUCGGUUCGGUCGGUGAGAGAAUUAUCAAACAGUCUGAAGGGUAAAAUGGGAAAAUACUGUGAAGUUUUCUUUUUAACUUAAUUUGUUUUUUUUUAAUUCAUUUAAUUGGUCAAAGGCCAAUGUCAAUUUUUGCUACAGUGUAAGGGUCAUUUUUGUGUAUUUCCUCAAGAAAAUAGGACAAUGGAGACAAAAUUAUCCAACCCUAGUUUUCUUCUCCAUGUUCUUUCUUUCUCCGUUCUUUUUUUUAUCUUCCCCUUUUACCCAAACGCUUCUUUUCCAAUAAUUACAGUCGUUCAGUCGGAUCAUCUGUUCAAUCAGCAAUCCAAGUUUCUUAAAAUUUCCCAAAUCACGAAAACCGGGGUUGGGUCAUUUAUACAUCUAAUUUAAUCGGGUUUGGGUUAGCUGUGGCCUCGAGUGCUUUCACCGGAUCCAGUUUUAUUAUUAAGAAGAAGGGUCUUCAGAGAGCCGGCGCCUCCGAUUGUCGUGCCAGUAAGUAUUAUAUUUUUGUUAAUUUUAGGGUGACACUAUUUACAUCCACAGUAAUUAUUUUUUUAAUCUUAUGUAAAUUUACCUGAAGAGACAUGUAUAAAAUUAAAUUAAAAUAUAUCAUUCUAAAUUCAUCCACUCAUAUUUAUUUUUACUAAAUUCUUUUGAACAUUUUUAUAUUUUUUCAGAAUUUGUGUUUACCUAAAAUAGUAAUUUUUUUUAAAUUCUAAUAUUUUAGUAGGGAUGAAUAUAUAAAAACCAUGGAUGUAAAUAGCCGUACCCUAAUUUUAUCUCCUUCAUUUUUGUCGCCAAUUGAAGAAAAAAUUUCUGAUUCUAUUGCAUUAUUUUGUGGAAAAAAGGUGAAUUUUGAUGUUGUACCAUUUGCUUCAUUUAUUAUUAAUUUUUUAUUUUGAUUCUGGAUAGUAAUAUUUUUUCUGCAAUUCAUAUUUUCUCCUUGUGAAUAGUAGAAACUAUUUUUCUCAUUAUAUUUAUAUAAUGAAGUUUUUUUUUUUUUAUGUUGUACCAUCUUCUUCAGUUUUUAUACCUGAUUCUGGAAAUUUUUAUGCAAUGAAAUAAAGAAAUUAGCAUAUGCAGUUUCACUCCCUCUUCUUCCCUGUGAAAAAAUCUCUAUGAAUUUUAAUGAUAUUAAUCCUUAAUUUGUUUUGAUUUAUUUGUGGUCAGGAUGAGAAGUGCCUAUUUAUAUCUAAUGGGUUAGUAUUUUCUCCAUUGCUAUCGGUUAGAUGGUGGUGAUUCAAUCAAUCUGUCACUUCUCUAUGAUUAUUCUUUCUUUCAAAAUACACCUACCUAGGUUCGACCUUCCAAAGUGAUGGUUAUCUAUUAAUGUUUUAAUUUUUGGGACAGUGACAAUGCCACAAAGUUUAUGUCCUUGGUUGAUCGUCACAUAACUAUCUUCUUUCCCAAAAGUUGGUAAGCGUAUUGGGGCAGGUUUAUUUGUUUCGUAAUGUUUGAUUUCAUAGUUAAUACUCUUUUAAACUGGAGAAAUGUCUGCAUUUGAUAAUGUUGUUGGUGGAAAGCUGAAACUUAAUGGGAAGGCUCUGGAUGUAAAAGCUGGUGGAGUGAAGAAAAAGAAGAAGCAAAAGAAGCACCACGAGCAAAUUUGUGGAAUGUUAAUGGGUAAGGUUGGGGCACAUUAUUUAUUUUAUUUAUCUUUGUCCUUUUAUGUUCUAAAUUUAUUUAACUACUACUCUUUGUACAAGUUGAGUAAUGGUAACUCAUGUAGACAGUGUACCCCAAUCAUUGGUUUGUUUAGUUGUUUAGUUGUGUCUGUUGAAGUUAUUGGUGUGCCUAUUUCAUGAGUUAUAACAACUAAAUUGUGAGGACAAUGUUUGGGGAAGGACAGUGGAGAAAAAAUGCUUAUUACAUGUGUAAGUUUUUAUGUAGUAGUUUCAACCUGUUAAGUGAUAGUCUGUUCCUAGAAAAUAUAUCAAUUUUUUCUCUUUGUUUUAGUUGUCAAUGUUAUUUAUGGCGUAUGAAUGAGUGUGAUGAGGGAAAAGAAUAUAUUAUUUGCAUGCAUCUUAUAUUCUAGAUUGAUUUAUAGACUUGGGAUCAUUAACAUCAGAUUUAGAACAUCUGGUUGGGCCAUUAAACUAGGUGCUGCCAAUGAACUUAUGCUAUAUACCCAAAUCUUGAAAUUCUUGGCCUAUACUUGACAUUCCUUCAACUUAUUAAGAUAAAGAUUAUGUGGGUUUGAAAUGCAUCCAGUAAUAUCUGUGCCUGCUAGAAAAAAAAAACAAUAAAUUCAGUGUCAGUCAUCUUGAAUUUAAGGUGCUGCACAUUUACUGAGAUUGCAGAUAAAUAUCUUGGUUUAGUUCUUCGUAGAAUCUGUCAAAGACACUGGAAUCGGAAUAUACUUGGAAAAUCUCAUCCUCAAAUAAAUUUCCCUGGGGAAACUGUAUGUUCAUUUAGCUAGAGCAAGUUUGAUUUGCUGAUAGAUUCUCGGGUUGUUGAAGUUGUAGACUUUGUUGAUUAAUAUGAUCACAUACUUAGGGGCAUCAACUUCUUAUUUGUGUCUUUAAAAUAGCUUUGUCCAUUUCUGCUGAUGGUGUAUCCAAUCAUCAUUUCAAUAAGUUGGUUGUUCACGAAAUAAUUCUUUCGAUUUAAAACUACCGCAAGUGUACGGUUCGUAACAAGUAAUAAAGUGGAUUUUUAAAAGUCCGAAUAUCGUCCCUCAGAGAUUGAGUAGUUCAAUUCUAUUUAAUCUAGUCUUAACCGAAUCUAAUUGAGUGAAAAUGUGAUCUAAGUGCAAAAAGUCCCAAUUUCAACUAAAAACCCUAAUUUCAAUUGAAAACCCUAAUUUCGAAAUUUCUCUAAUUAAACGACUUAAACACUCAAGUAAAUGAAAUUAAGCAAGUUUAAAAACUAAUUUAUUAAAAUGAAUAAAAUUAAAGUCACUAGGAUCACGAAUCCCCAAUUGAAGUUAUAAAAACCCUAAUUUCAUAAAAUUAAUGAUUCGAUGAAAAUUUGCCAAUUCAAUGUUCCUAUUCUAUCCAAUAUACUCUCUCGAUAUAUAUUAGACAUAUUCUUGUACACCACCAGCCUAUAUCUCUAUGGAUGAUGCAAACAUACAAGAAUGCAUGUAGUUUUGUGAACAAUUUAAGAAUUACAUAAAGCAUAGGGGUAUAUCUCUAUCCCCUAUCGGACCCUAUGUUAAUUUACACCUUAUCGAACCUAUUCCACUUCUCUCGAAUGUAAGAAACAAGUCAUCAAUACUCACACAAUCAUUGGCCACUAAUUGCGGAAGAAAAUUAAUGCAUGUAAAUCAAUCAAAAUAUCCAACGAAUCUUUAUAUCAAGUUCAUGAAAUAUAGAAUUAAAAUAACAAACAACGGUUCAUCGAUCACCUAGUAAUUAAAACCCUAGCCUAGAAGAUUCAUAAUUACAGAAAACAAAACGAAAUUAAUGAUUAGAAGGAAUAACACCCUUAUGGAAGUUCUUGAAAUCUGAAUUCUUGAACAAAACCUUGAAAACCCCUUUGAAUCCUUGUGAAAUCGGCUUCAAGUUUGUGUUCCUUGUCUCCAAAAGUUGUAUUCUUCUUCUCCCUGGACGUUCUGCCCUUUUUCUGAUGAAUCUUGGCUUUUAUAUCAUGUCCCCACGGAGCCCCCAAAGAGUUUCAAUUAAAAACGGGAUUUCAGAAUUUUUUAUCGACCUUAAAGCCAUGCGGCCGCAUGGUUCAAUUUUUCAGCUCAUUUGGAUCCCUGCAAUACCCUGUGCGGCCGCAUGGUUAUAAAAUUUUUCCUCCGGACAGCUUUCAGUAUUUUGGUCAUAACUUUCUCUCCCGAUCUUCGAUUGAAGUGAUUCAAAGUGCAUUGGGAAGAAAACUCAAAGAUGUACAUUUUUGAUAGAAAUAGGCUUCCUCAAAUUCUGAUGUUUACUAUGCCAAAAAUGAAUCUCAAGUAGAAAUUCAAAAUCACGAGCAUAACUUUUUCGUCUGAAAUUUGAUACUUGAUAAUACUUCGACCAUAUUUCACCUCUUGACUCCUUUCCUCAUCCGAUUGAACUUUAACACUCUUGAAUCUUCAUUUCAUUUCCCGUCUCAUCUAUGGAUUAUUUGCAACUUGGUCCUCGAUCUAUCGCUUUGUUCCGUUUUGGUCCUUUUUCGACUCUUUUCUUCUGAAUUCGAUCUUUUCCAUAGAAACACCUACAUAGCAUGAAUUUAACAAGAUUAAGUCAUAAUUCGACUAUUUUAUCCAUGUUUAAGUCAUGUUCGUGAGCUAAAUAAGUGUGUAAAAACACACUUAUCAUUGGUCUCCCAAAAAUAGUGAUAAAUGGUUGCUGAUUAGUAGUCUAUAAUUCUAAUGUUAAUGCUGUAGCAUGGGAAAAUAUAUGGCUCAGAUGAUGAGAAAUGUUUGAAGUACAUUUCGCAUCUGAUUCAUUAUGCAUCAGCCCUUGAGCAUAAUAAACAUGAAUUUCCAACUUUUCCUUGUAUGUUUUAGCAUAUCGUGCAGCUGGAUGCUUUUGAACGUGGAAAACUUCAUUUCAAGACUCGAUUCUCGUCAAACAAAAAACUUGGUGAAAGUCCUAAAAAUUUAGCAUGUAAGGCGAUUUUACAUUUUCUAUGUUAAUGUCGAUGAAGUUCAAUUAUUUUCCUUAGAAAUGAUUAAAUUUGAUAUAGUUUACAGCAUCUAAUUGAAUAUAUGACGGUGUUGGUGAAUUGUUUCAAGGUUGAAAGUGGUUGGUGAAUACUAGCUCCCGAGCUUUCUUUUUUUGAAAACAUGGUGAAAGUCCUUUGUAGAGUUUCCAAGCUCGACUAAUCAAUUGUCACAUGGCUAAGGUAGAGAUUCAUGACCUUAUUUUGUAAUCAGGAUUUAAGUUUUCUACAACUCAUAUCAAAUCCAUAUAUUGUAAUUGUGAGUUGAAUUACAAUAGUUAUCUUUAUGGCAAUGAUGCGAGUUUUAUGUUUAUUUUUAUCGAGUAAUGAAAUUAUUAUCAAAUUCCAGG
rnacentral:lncRNA from 1 species